rnacentral:rRNA from 1 species
UUAAUGACUCUCGGCAACGGAUAUCUCGGCUCUCGCAUCGAUGAAGAACGUAACGAAAUGCGAUACUUGGUGUGAAUUGCAGAAUCCCGUGAACCAUCGAGUUUUUGAACGCAAGUUGCGCCCGAAGCCAUCUGGUUGAGGGCACGUCUGCCUGGGCGUCACGU